GACGAACGCUGGCGGCAUGCCUAAUACAUGCAAGUCGAACGAACCAUCCUGAAGAUUGAAGCUUGCUUCAUGAUUCAGACCUUGGUGAGUGGCGGACGGGUGAGUAACACGUGGGUAACCUGCCCAAAAGUGGGGGAUAACAUCUGGAAACAGGUGCUAAUACCGCAUAACAACUACUUUCACAUGAUCGUAGCUUGAAAGAUGGCUCUGCUAUCGCUUUUGGAUGGACCCGCGGCGUAUUAGCUAGUUGGUGAGGUAAUAGCUCACCAAGGCAAUGAUACGUAGCCGACCUGAGAGGGUAAUCGGCCACAUUGGGACUGAGACACGGCCCAAACUCCUACGGGAGGCAGCAGUAGGGAAUCUUCCACAAUGGGCGAAAGCCUGAUGGAGCAAUGCCGCGUGAGUGAAGAAGGUUUUCGGAUCGUAAAACUCUGUUGUUGAAGAAGAACAUGCGUGAGAGUAACUGUUCACGUACUGACGGUAUUCAACCAGAAAGCCACGGCUAACUACGUGCCAGCAGCCGCGGUAAUACGUAGGUGGCAAGCGUUGUCCGGAUUUAUUGGGCGUAAAGAGAAUGUAGGCGGUUUAUUAAGUUUGAAGUGAAAGCCCUCGGCUCAACCGAGGAAGUGCUUCGAAAACUGGUAAACUUGAGUGCAGAAGAGGAAAGUGGAACUCCAUGUGUAGCGGUGGAAUGCGUAGAUAUAUGGAAGAACACCAGUGGCGAAGGCGGCUUUCUGGUCUGUAACUGACGCUGAGAUUCGAAAGCAUGGGUAGCAAACAGGAUUAGAUACCCUGGUAGUCCAUGCCGUAAACGAUGAGUGCUAAGUGUUGGAGGGUUUCCGCCCUUCAGUGCUGCAGCUAACGCAUUAAGCACUCCGCCUGGGGAGUACGAUCGCAAGAUUGAAACUCAAAGGAAUUGACGGGGGCCCGCACAAGCGGUGGAGCAUGUGGUUUAAUUCGAAGCAACGCGAAGAACCUUACCAGGUCUUGACAUACCAUGAAAAGCUAAGAGAUUAGUCUUUCCCUUCGGGGACAUGGAUACAGGUGGUGCAUGGUUGUCGUCAGCUCGUGUCGUGAGAUGUUGGGUUAAGUCCCGCAACGAGCGCAACCCUUAUUAUCAGUUGCCAGCAUUCAGUUGGGCACUCUGGUGAGACUGCCGGUGACAAACCGGAGGAAGGUGGGGACGACGUCAAAUCAUCAUGCCCCUUAUGACCUGGGCUACACACGUGCUACAAUGGUCGGUACAACGUGCUGCGAACUCGCGAGGGUAAGCAAAUCACUUAAAACCGAUCUCAGUUCGGAUUGUAGGCUGCAACUCGCCUACAUGAAGCUGGAAUCGCUAGUAAUCGCGGAUCAGCAUGCCGCGGUGAAUACGUUCCCGGGCCUUGUACACACCGCCCGUCACACCAUGAGAGUUUGUAACACCCAAAGUCGGUGGGGUAACCCUUCGGGGAACUAGCCGCCUAAGGUGGGACAAAUGAUUAGGGUGAAGUCGUAACAAGGUAGCCGUAGGAGAACC
rnacentral:rRNA from 2 species